AUUUUGAAAGAAAUUGGACUCGGAGUUCAGGAAGAACGAUCCAUCGAACAAGAAGUAUAAACUACGGUUGAGGUACGAAGAAGAUCAUGGGAUGCCUUAGAGUGAGGAUGCAACCAUCAAAGUCACGAUCGAUGUUUAAUAAAGAUAACUAUGUCAUUAGUAAUAAAGGGAUGUAUUAAUUAAACUCUAAGUUUGAUUUCACGAUUUGAGUUAGAUUUUCAAAUUAAUGUUUAAACAUGUUAGAAAUAUUUAUUAAGGUUUACUUAGAUUUCAAUGUAAUUUUUAAAGAAUUAAUCGAAGUGAAGUAUAAUUACUGUUA